GCGGCGAAAGGGUGAGUAAUGGUUCGUUAACGUACCUCUUGGACCCGGAUAAUUCACCGAAAGGUGUUGUAAUACGGGAUGGGACGACGUUUACUUUGGUAAGUGUCGUGAAAGCUCGGGGAUCCUUCGGGACCCGUGGCCGAGAGAGCGGACGAGCCCCGAUUAGCUUGAUGGUGGGGUAAUGGCCCACCAUGGCUGUGAUCGGUAGCCGGCCUGAGAGGGUGUACGGCCACACUGGGACUGAGACACUGCCCAGACUCCUACGGGAGGCUGCAGUCGCGAAUCUUCCACAAUGGACGCAAGUCUGAUGGAGCCACGCCGCGUGUAGGAGGAAGGCCCUUGGGUUGUAAACUACUGUUGAGAAGGGGGAACCGCCGUAGGUUAAUGGCCUGCGGUCUGACUGCCUUCUUGAGGAAGCUCCGGCUAAACACGUGCCAGCAGCCGCGGUAAUACGUGUGGAGCAAGCGUUGUUCGGAAUUACUGGGCUUAAAGGGUGCGUAGGCGGCCCGCUAAGUCAGCUGUGAAAUCCCACGGCCCAACCGUGGACUUGCAGUUGAUACUGGUGGGCUUGAGUGUGCUAGGGGUAAGCGGAACGAGUGGUGUAGCGGUGAAAUGCGUAGAUAUCACUCGGAAGGCCAGAGCCGAAGGGGGCUUACUGGGGCACAACUGACGCUGAGGCACGAAAGCGUGGGGAGCAAACAGGAUUAGAUACCCUGGUAGUCCACGCUGUAAACGAUGAGCACUAGAUGGG
rnacentral:rRNA from 1 species